GACGAACGCUGGCGGCGUGCUUAACACAUGCCAGUCGUACGGUAAGGCCCUUUCGGGGGUACACGAGUGGCGAACGGGUGAGUAACACGUGAGUAACCUGCCCACAACUUUGGGAUAACGCUAGGAAACUGGUGCUAAUACUGGAUAUGUGCUCCUGCUGCAUGGUGGGGGUUGGAAAGCUCCGGCGGUUGUGGAUGGACUCGCGGCCUAUCAGCUUGUUGGUGGGGUAGUGGCCUACCAAGGCGGCGACGGGUAGCCGGCCUGAGAGGGUGACCGGCCACAUUGGGACUGAGAUACGGCCCAGACUCCGACGGGAGGCAGCAGUGGGGAAUAUUGCACAAUGGGCGCAAGCCUGAUGCAGCAACGCCGCGUGCGGGAUGACGGCCUUCGGGUUGUAAACCGCUUUCAGCAGGGACGAAGCUUUUUGUGACGGUACCUGCAGAAGAAGCACCGGCUAACUACGUG
rnacentral:rRNA from 1 species